GAUGAACGCUGGCGGCGUGCCUAAUACAUGCAAGUCGAGCGAACUGAUUAGAAGCUUGCUUCUAUGAUGUUAGCGGCGGACGGGUGAGUAACACGUGGGCAACCUGCCUGUAAGACUGGGAUAACUUCGGGAAACCGAAGCUAAUACCGGAUAGGAUCUUCUCCUUCAUGGGAGAUGAUUGAAAGAUGGUUUCGGCUAUCACUUACAGAUGGGCCCGCGGUGCAUUAGCUAGUUGGUGAGGUAACGGCACACCAAGGCAACGAUGCAUAGCCGACCUGGGAGGGUGAUCGGCCACACUGGGACUGAGACACGGCCCAGACUCCUACGGGAGGCAGCAGUAGGGAAUCUUCCGCAAUGGACGAAAGUCUGACGGAGCAACGCCGCGUGAGUGAUGAAGGCUUUCGGGUCGUAAAACUCUGUUGUUAGGGAAGAACAAGUACGAGAGUAACUGCUCGUACCUUGACGGUACCUAACCAGAAAGCCACGGCUAACUACGUGCCAGCAGCCGCGGUAAGAC
rnacentral:rRNA from 1 species